rnacentral:lncRNA from 1 species
UGCUCAGCUACUAACGUUAGCGUUGUUAGUUGCAGGUGAUUUAAACUCAUGUGAUGACAUGAGAUUGAUAUCAUUAUAUUAAUUUCUGUUAUUUAAUUAAUGUAUCUAUAUACUUGGUAAAUGACGGGAGGCCUAGCCUUUUGCCGGGUGUCUUGUUCCGUUAUUGCCGCCUUAGUUGCCGGUUACCGGUGUUUGAUUCCAUAUUGAUCGCUCCUAACACGUUCGGGGUUGUUAUGGGGACCCCCUUGAUAAAUCGCGUAGUGUUAAGGCUUGUCUGGCAGGACCCAACUUUGGUUUUAAACUGCU